rnacentral:rRNA from 1 species
UAGCGAAGGGGGCAAGCGAUUGUUCGGAAGUCUGGGCGUAAAGGGCGCGCAAGGCGGCUGAUCAAGGCAGAUGUGAAAGCCCCGGGCUCAACCUGGGAAUAGCAUUUGGGACUGGAUCGGCUAGAGUUCGGGAGAGGAUCGCGGAAUUCCCGGUGUAGAGGUGAAAUUCGGUAGAUGAUCGGGAGGAACACCAGUGGCGAAGGCGGCGAUGCGUGGGAAGAUACUGACGCUGAGGUGACGAAAGCGUGGGGAGCAAACAGG